rnacentral:tRNA from 1 species
GGGCCUAUAGCUCAAUUGGCAGAGCAACGGACUUUUAAUCCGUGGGUUCUGGGUUCGAUUCCCAGUGGGCCCACCG